CCAGCAGCCGCGGUAAUACGUAGGGUGCAAGCGUUGUCCGGAUUUAUUGGGCGUAAAGAGCUCGUAGGCGGUAUGUCGCGUCGGAUGUGAAAAUCCAAGGCUUAACCUUGGACCUGCAUCCGAUACGGGCACACUAGAGUGUGGUAGGGGAGACUGGAACUCCUGGUGUAGCGGUGAAAUGCGCAGAUAUCAGGAAGAACACCAAUGGCGAAGGCAGGUCUCUGGGCCAUUACUGACGCUGAGGAGCGAAAGCGUGGGGAGCAAACAGGAUUAGAUACCCUGGUAGUCCACGCCGUAAACGGUGGGCGCUAGGUGUGGGGACCAUUCCACGGUUUCCGCGCCGCAGCUAACGCAUUAAGCGCCCCGCCUGGGGAGUACGGCCGCAAGGCUAAAACUCAAAGGAAUGACGGGGGCCCGCACAAGCGGCGGAGCCAUGCGGCUUAAUUCGAUGCAACGCGAAGAACCUUACCUGGGCUUGACUAUGGGGAAAACCGGCAGAAGAUGUCGGGUCCGCAAGGGCCUCAUACAGGUGGUGCAUGGCUGUCGUCAGCUCGUGUCGUGAGAUGUUGGGUUAAGUCCCGCAACGAGCGCAACCUCGUCCCUAUGUUGCCAGCGAGUAAUGUCGGGACUCAUAGGAGACUGCCGGGGUCAACUCGGAGGAAGGUGGGGAUGACGUCAAGUCAUCAUGCCCCUUAUGUCCAGGGCUGCACGCAUGCUACAAUGGCCGGUACAAAGGGCUGCAAAACCGUAAGGUGGAGCGAAUCCCAAAAAGCCGGUCUCAGUUCGGAUUGAGGUCUGCAACUCGACCCCAUGAAGUCGGAGUCGCUAGUAAUCGCAGAUCAGCAACGCUGCGGUGAAUACGUUCCCGGGCCUUGUACACACCGCCCGUCACGUCACGAAAGUCGGUAACACCCGAAGCCGGUGGCCUAACCCCUUGUGGGAAGGAGCCGUCGAAGGUGGGACUGGCGAUUGGGACGAAGUCGUAACAAGGUAGCCGAU
rnacentral:rRNA from 1 species